CAGCACAUUCUACCUACCGUUCACCUCUUGAAAUUUGUUUCAUGAAUGGGUGUUCUUUUUUGAACUGUUUCUGAUGACCAACCCUAGGACGUUUCUGGAGGUGGGGUGUCAUUUCCAGGGCCCCAGCCCUUGUGAGUAUCCAGUCCCCAGAAGCGGUGGUUUUCAAGGUGUUGUUACAGGACGUGUCCACAAGGCGGAAGCACGUUCCCGUUUCCAGGUCUGGGUGGGCGGCUAGCAGAGCCUUAAGAGAAGAAAGUGGCUUUCCUGGGUGGGAGAGGAGUGUGGACAGGGGGAGAAGAAACAGCCGAGGGCUUGUGCUCCUUGCUGUUCCCGGGACAUUUCCCAGCCCCGACGGAUGCCAAGCCCUGACAGACUGCUGCGCUGAGGACGCUGUGGUUCCUAGGUUGGGGGACGGCUCCGUGCGAGGAGGCUGCAGCGGGGAAUCCCACCGGCGUGAGAGCUGCGCACCAGCAAAAUCAUCAGCUCAGCAACAGUUCCGCCGACCGUUCACCACUUGAAAUGUGCUUCGUGAAUGGGACUUCUUUUUUGAAUUGUUUCUGAUGACCAACCCUAGGACAUUUCUGGAGGUGGGGUGUUUUUCCAGUGCCCAAGCCCUUGUGAGCUGGGGCCCAGUGCCUCCAAAAUCACUGCAGAUGGUGACCGCAGCCAUGAAAUUAAAAGACGUUGGCUCCUUGGAAGAGAAGCUAUGACCAAACUAGACAGCAUAUUAAAAAGCAGAGAUAUUACUUUGCCAAGAAAAGUUCGUCUAGUCAAAGCUAUGGUUUUUCCAGUGGUCAUGUAUAGAUGUGAGAGUUGGACCAUAAAGAAAGCUGAGCACUGAAGAAUUGAUGCUUUUGAACUGUGGUGUUGGAGAAGACUCGUGAGAGUCCCUUGGACCGCAAGGAGAUCAAACCAGUUAAUCCCAAAGGAAAUCAGUCCUGACUAUUCACUGGAAGGACUGAUGCUGAAACUGAAACUCCAAACCUUUGGCCACCUGAUGCGAAGAACUGACUCAUUGGAAAAGACCCUGAUGCUGGGUAAAGGUUGAAAGCGGGAGGAGAAGGGGAUGACAGAGGAUGAGAUGGUUGGAUGGCAUCACCGACUCGAUGGACAUGAGUUUGAGCAAGGUCCGGGAGUUUGUGAUGGACAGGGGAGCCCGGCGUGCUGCAGUCCAUGGGGUCGCAAAGAGUCAGACACGACU
rnacentral:lncRNA from 1 species